rnacentral:pre_miRNA from 1 species
UCAACCCAUUUAACCUUCUAACCCAUCAAAUUAAAUGAGUUCAUGGGUUGACUCAACUCAUUUGCUUAAAUGAGUUGAGUGAACCCAUGAACUCAUUUAACUCUAAACUCAUUGGGUAAUGAGU